UUAUAAGUGGGUGGAUCAUUCCUAAUUGUACCGAGGCCUUUUGUGAUUAAAACCCAACACCUUAAAGGUGGUUAAGUUGGGACAAACCCAUACUUCUGAGUAUAGCCUUUUGCUACUAACCUUGCCUUGUACCUGUCCACAAAACCAUCAGAAUUAUGUUUCAUCGUAUACACCCACCGACAACCAAUUGUCUUCUUCCCUGGUGGCAAUGACACUAACUCCCACGUAUGAUUCUUCUCAAGAGCAUCCAUCUCAACUUUCAUUGCCUGCAUCCACUUCUCAUCCUUCAUAGCAUCCUGCACUUUACUAGGAAGAGACACAGAAGAUAAUUGAUUCACAAAUGCUACAUAUGGUUUAGACAACCUGUGGGUAGACACAUAAUUAACAAUUGGAUAUUUAGCCUUAGCACUUAGAGUAGGUUCAUAAUAUUUUGGAGGCUGACCACGGGUUGAACGACUAGGCAAGAUUUUAGUUGGGACAUUAUUUGACACAGAAGAACUAGUAGAAAAACAAGGAUUAGGACAUACCUCGGGUGAUGAUUCAGCAGGUGAGACCGAUGAAGAAGAGGGAGAGACAGAAGAGCCAUUUAAAACAGCGCCAGAAGACUGCAACACAUCAUUAGAUUCAGGAUCUGAAAUCACUUCCCUAGCCGAUCGGUCGGAUUGUUCUGGAUCUAAUUGACCGUUGGGUAAAACACUGCCCAAAGAUUCUUCUCUAACCGGACAUUCUGACACGACCCACCCCGAAUUUCACCCUGAAACCCAGAGUAAGUCGUGCGGGGACCACUUCCAAGGAAAAUUUACUGAAAAGAUUAAGAAAAUCUCCCUUGCAGAUGGACAACCCUAACUCGAAAAUUUCAAAUUACACUCUUAAUUUAUCACUUCUGAACAACGCAUAAUAUACAAAAAUUCUAAAGUAAUUCAGAGCUACUAAACACAAGCGGAAGCAAGAAAACACGAGUAGGUUGAACAGGUAACCUACUGGCGAAAACUGGCAGAAAUGCGGGUGACUAUGCCUCGUCUCCUACUAGAUCCAACCCGAACUCUGCAGACUGGGCAAUUUAAAACGAAUGGCCCAGGGGAAAACAUUUAAUAACGUUAGAGUGAGUGGACAAAAAUAAAAUAAUAAAUAAAAUAUUUAUGUUUCCCCAAAUUAAUUCUAAGGAAAAAAUCGAAUGCAUGCCGCAAGCGAUAAAACUUUUAUCCCAUAAAAUAUCGAGCCUCUCAGACUCUAUAAUAUAUGUAUGUAUUUACACACGCCCAUACUCCCUAUAUAAAUUCAUGGGUCUAUAUAGGGCUACUACGCGCGCGUCCAACGCUCACGUCACGCCUUAAUGCGGUGCUACACUACGCCAUUAAGGUGGACAGACGGGUGUAUAAAUAUGUGUCCAUACCCCCUAUAUGAAUUAAACACUCAAAUAGGGCUACUACGCUUACGUCCAACGCUCACGUCACACCAUAAUGCGGCUAUAUGCUACGCCAUUAAGGUGGACAGACACAUAUGGCUAGCUAGCAUUUCAUACAUACUCUCUCAUAUAUACAUAUUUAUUUUCACCGAAAAUCCCAUUUUCGGUAACUCUCUNNNNNNNNNNNNNNNNNNNNGAGAAAAGAAGAAGAAAUGGGUUGGGCUCGGCCCAGCCGACCCAACACUCCUUUUAACCCAAAAUUCCAAAAUUCAACACCCCGAAAAAUAAUACCCGAAUAAAAAUUACCUUUUACUAGCUAAAAUUUACUAUUUUUACCGUCGUCGUAUUUUCCCCAUACGAAUUAUCCUCCGCACAUAAUCAUCCCCGAAACCCCUCUAGGGACCAAUUAAACUAUUUACUCAAAGAUCGGGACGGUAAAAUUCUUAUUAUAAUCACGCUAGUAAAUGAGGUAAAAAUAUAAGGGUCGGGAUGUGACACAUUCAGAUUGAACUGGUGUGUCACUGAUUCCACUUUUUUCUGUUUCUAUCUCGGAUGACUGAUCUGUAGAGUUGGGCUGACCAUUUGGUGAAAUUUUGUCGUUCUUUUCAAGCUCUGUCGCUACACACUCCACCCUUGUGACUUCUGGUGUCACACUCUCAUUAUGUCCAACAAACAAAUCUUCAUAAUAACUAAACCUCUCCCCCUGACGAGGAGUCACAGGAGGCAGGAAAUAACAUACAUCUUCACUGAAAGUAACAUCCAUGGUGACAUAAAACCUUUGGGACUGAGGAUGAUAACAUUUGUAGCCUUUCUGCUGAGAGCCAUACCCAACAAAUACACACUUAAGGGNNNNNNNNNNNNNNNNNNNNCUAGACCUAUGACUCUUAGCCGAAGCACAAGUUUCACAAUGCAAACUAGACUCACUCACUCCGAAAAACAACGAAGGCAUGGACUUUUUCAUUACCCCAAAAGAUGCAUGUCCCAAACGUCUGUGCCACAACCAUAACUCACUCAACCGAUCAGAACUCAAUGUCAGGGCCAAAGGUUGUUCUGGUGCUUGUGCUUGUCCUGUGUACAUGCAAUCUAAGUGAAACAGUCUCCCCCUCAGGUCUCCCUUGCCAAUGAUCACCCGAGUGCACAGAUUCUGAAAAACAACAUACAUUGGAUAAAAGGUCACGGAACACUUAUUUUGUGAACUCAACUGAGAUACUGAUAAUAGAUGAUGAGACAACGAGGGUACAUAAAGGCAUCAUGUAAAACAAUAGACGGUGUUACCUGGAUAGACCCAAUACCUAAGACCGGAAAAGAUGCACCAUUUGCAUUACAGACAUGAGAAAUAGGACGGAUAAGACAUAGACACAAAGAAAGAUUUAUCAUAGGUCAUAUGGUCUGACGCACCGGAAUCAAUAAUCCAUGUAUCUCCACCAGUAAAGUUAGCAACAUGUAAAGCAACACCAAAUUUACCUCGAGUUUCCUUAGUCAAGGAAAUAUUAUC
rnacentral:lncRNA from 1 species